rnacentral:rRNA from 1 species
UACAGAGGAGCCAAGCGUUGUCCGGAUUGACUGGGCGUAAAGCGCACGCAGGCGGAUGCGCGCGUGGGGUGUGAAAUCUGGCCGCUUAACGGCCAGGCGCCAUCCCAUACGGCGCGUCUGGAGUGAUGCAGAGGUCGAUGGAAUUGCCGGUGUAGUGGUGAAAUGCGUAGAGAUCGGCAGGAACACCCAGGGGGAAACCAGUCGACUGGGC